rnacentral:rRNA from 1 species
GACGAACGCUGGCGGCGUGCCUAAUACAUGCAAGUAGAACGCACAGUUUAUACCGUAGCUUGCUACACCAUAGACUGUGAGUUGCGAACGGGUGAGUAACGCGUAGGUAACCUGCCUGGUAGCGGGGGAUAACUAUUGGAAACGAUAGCUAAUACCGCAUAAUAUUGAUUAUUGCAUGAUAAUUGAUUGAAAGAUGCUAUUGCAUCACUACCAGAUGGACCUGCGUUGUAUUAGCUAGUAGGUGAGGUAACGGCUCACCUAGGCGACGAUACAUAGCCGACCUGAGAGGGUGAUCGGCCACACUGGGACUGGGACACGGCCCAGACUCCUACGGGAGGCAGCAGUAGGGAAUCUUCGGCAAUAGACGAAAGUCUGACCGAGCAACGCCGCGUGAGGGAAGAAGGUUUUCGGAUCGGAAAGCUCUGUUGUAAGGGAAGAACGGGUGUGAGAGUGGAAAGUUCACACUGUGACGGUAUCUUACCAGAAAGGGACGGCUAACUACGUG